CGGGUAUAGCUUAGUGGUAAAGCUCCAGCCUUCCAAGCUGAUAAGGAGGGUUCGAUUCCCUCUACCC
rnacentral:tRNA from 1 species